rnacentral:rRNA from 1 species
UGGAGAAAAGCAGGGGAUCGAAAGACCUUGCGCUUAAGGAGCGGCCGAUGUCUGAUUAGCUAGUUGGUGGGGUAAAGGCCUACCAAGGCGACGAUCAGUAGUUGGUCUGAGAGGACGACCAACCACACUGGGACUGAGACACGGCCCAGACUCCUACGGGAGGCAGCAGUGGGGAAUUUUGGACAAUGGGCGCAAGCCUGAUCCAGCCAUGCCGCGUGAGUGAAGAAGGCCUUCGGGUUGUAAAGCUCUUUCAGUUGGGAAGAAACGAUUACAACUAAUAAUUGUAAUUAAUGACGGUACCGACAGAAGAAGCACCGGCUAACUACGUGCCAGCAGCCGCGGUAAUACGUAGGGUGCGAGCGUUAAUCGGAAUUACUGGGCGUAAAGGGUGCGCAGGCGGUUUUGUAAGUCAGAUGUGAAAUCCCCGGGCUUAACCUGGGAAUGGCGUUUGAA